rnacentral:rRNA from 1 species
CCUACGGGUGGCUGCAGUGGGGAAUAUUGGACAAUGGGCGAAAGCCUGAUCCAGCCAUGCCGCGUGUGUGAAGAAGGCCUUCGGGUUGUAAAGCACUUUCAGUGGGGAAGAAAGCCUUGGGGCUAAUACCCUCGAGGAAGGACAUCACCCACAGAAGAAGCACCGGCUAACUCCGUGCCAGCAGCCGCGGUAAUACGGAGGGUGCGAGCGUUAAUCGGAAUUACUGGGCGUAAAGCGCGCGUAGGCGGUCUGAUAAGCCGGUUGUGAAAGCCCCGGGCUCAACCUGGGAACGGCAUCCGGAACUGUCAGGCUAGAGUGCAGGAGAGGAAGGUAGAAUUCCCGGUGUAGCGGUGAAAUGCGUAGAGAUCGGGAGGAAUACCAGUGGCGAAGGCGGCCUUCUGGACUGACACUGACGCUGAGGUGCGAAAGCGUGGGUAGCAAACAGGAUUAGAUACCCCUGUAGU